GCCCGAUUAGCUCAGCUGGUUAGAGCGUCGUACUAAUAGAAGCGAUUCUAUCAUGUGAUGCGAAGGUCAACAGUUCAAUCCUGUUAUUGGGCA